GCGGGAAUAGCUCAGUGGUAGAGCACAACCUUGCCAAGGUUGGGGUCGCGAGUUCGAGCCUCGUUUCCCGCUCUA
rnacentral:tRNA from 1 species